rnacentral:rRNA from 1 species
ACUCCUACGGGAGGCAGCAGUGGGGAAUAUUGCACAAUGGGGAAACCCUGAUGCAGCCAUGCCGCGUGUGUGAAGAAGGCCUUCGGUUGUAAAGCACUUCAGUAGGGAGGAAGGUAGUGUAGUUAACACCUGCAUAUUUGACGUUACCUACAGAAGAAGCACCGGCUAACUCCGUGCCAGCAGCCGCGGUAAUACGGAGGGGUGCGAGCGUUAAUCGGAAUUACUGGGCGUAAAGCGCAUGCAGGCGGCCUGUUAAGUCAGAUGUGAAAGCCCGGGGGCUUAACCUCGGAAUUGCAUUUGAAACUGGCAGGCUAGAGUCUUGUAGAGGGGGUAGAAUUUCAGGUGUAGCGGUGAAAUGCGUAGAGAUCUGAAGGAAUACCAGUGGCGAAGGCGGCCCCCUGGACAAAGACUGACGCUCAGAUGCGAAAGCGUGGGGAGCAAACAGGAUUAGAUACCCUGGUAGACUGUCA